rnacentral:rRNA from 1 species
GACGGGGGGGGCAAGUGUUCUUCGGAAUGACUGGGCGUAAAGGGCACGUAGGCGGUGAAUCGGGUUGAAAGUGAAAGUCGCCAAAAAGUGGCGGAAUGCUCUCGAAACCAAUUCACUUGAGUGAGACAGAGGAGAGUGGAAUUUCCGGUGUAGCGGUGAAAUGCGUAGAUAUCGGAAGGAACGUCAGUGGCGAAGGCGGCCACCUGGACUGACAUUGACGCUGAGGCACGAAAGCGUGGGUAGCGAACAGG